UACGAAGGGGGCUAGCGUUGCUCGGAUUGACUGGGCGUAAAGGGCUCGUAGGCGGCCAACUAAGUCAUACGUGAAAUCCCUCAGCUUAACUGGGGAACUGCGUCUGAUACUGGAUGGCUUGAGAUUGGGAGAGGGAUGCGGAAUUCCAGGUGUAGCGGUGAAAUGCGUAGAUAUCUGGAGGAACACCGGUGGCGAAGGCGGCAUCCUGGACCAACACUGACACUGAGGAGCGAAAGCCAGGGGAGCAAACGGG
rnacentral:rRNA from 1 species